rnacentral:rRNA from 1 species
UGGGGAAUUUUGCACAAUGGGGGAAACCCUGAUGCAGCGACGCCGCGUGAUUUAGAAGGCCUUCGGGUUGUAAAAAUCUUUUCUAUGGGAAGAAAAUGACAGUACCAUAGGAAUAAGGACCGGCUAAUUACGUGCCAGCAGCCGCGGUAAUACGUAAGGUCCGAGCGUUGUCCGGAAUCAUUGGGCGUAAAGGGUACGUAGGCGGGUAAGCAAGUUAGAAGUGAAAUCCUAUAGCUCAACUAUAGUAAGCUUUUAAAACUGCUCAUCUUGAGGUAUGGAAGGGAAAGUGGAAUUCCUAGUGUAGCGGUGAAAUGCGCAGAUAUUAGGAGGAAUACCGGUGGCGAAGGCAACUUUCUGGCCAUAACCUGACGCUGAGGUACGAAAGCGUGGGUAGCAAACAGG